UAUCUUUUAUCGCUUAAUUCGAAAGAAGCGGGGGAACCAUAAUUGUGGCUAUUAGUCACUUGGGGUGAAUCCUUUUUUUAAAGGUAGGGUUACUCUCAUACCCGAAUCCGACAGCUAACCUCGUAAGCGUUGCGAGAGAGGAGUG
rnacentral:sRNA from 2 species